rnacentral:rRNA from 1 species
CUUGGUAAUCACGCUGCCCUCGUCAUGCCUGAUCUCAUCUAAUCUUUGAACAUAAGCAGGAUUGGACCAGGUUAAUGCUCGGAGAACCACCUGAGAAUCCCAGGUGCAGUGGCUAUGC